AAAACCCCUGAAUUAUCAGAAGAAGUAAACACAAGAAAAGAUCAGUGGCUUUCCUCAAACGCAGCUUGUAGCGUCUCUUUAUUAACAUCAUAUCAUUUUGACUUUAUAAUUAUCAAUGUCACAAAAUACACACUAUUCACACAUCUGUUGUCUUAACUGUUAUAUUAGUAUCUUUUAAAAUGAAACUGUUUUACUGUACAAAAUGAUCACCGUCACUCUCAUAACACAUAUACACUACUCUAAGUCUGAACAAAUAUACAAAUACACACUUCUGAGUCAUUUUUAUAUUGGUAAAUUAGCGCAUACUGAAAUAAAAUGUAUUAUUUACAUGUGAAUUGACUACAAUCACAACAAUCAACCGUUUUAACCUGUAACUUUCACAUUUAACACAAACAAGUUAUUAGUUUUAAACACAUAGGAAAUGUGAACUGACAUGUCUUAUAAUGGCAAUGGCACAUAUUUUCAUUUUUUUUAAUGAAUAUAUACCUGAAUUAUCAGGAGAAGUAAACACAAGAAAAGAUCAGGGGCUUUCCUCAAACGCAGCUUGUAGCGUCUGAAGUAAACACAACGCGCAUCACCAUAGCAACCCACAACGGACUCACUCUAGUGGCAACAGUUGUAUUUUCUUUUAAAACUUCAGUCUUAAGUGGUGAUAAUUAAUGACUCGUGUACAAUAAACUCUUUGUCAAAUAAAUAAAGAAAGAAAUACAUAAAUAAUUAAAUAAAUGUAUAAAUAAAUAAAUAUUAAUACCAAAAGACACAUUACCUUGUGAUUACACAUGGGUGUAUCACAUAUUCACCACACGAAGUCCAUAGUUUCCUUUAUCAUGGUUUAUUCUUCCAAGUCAAUAAAGAAUCACAUUUCUUUAUUAACAAAAACAAUUAUUGUACCAAAUUUAGGCUACAUGAUAAAAAUGUGAAAAUAUAAAUUCUGAAACAUGAAAUAUGGCUCUUACACUUUGACAGCAAUGCCAUAGAAAUAUACAGAGCUACCGCAAAAACGGAAGUUCAAAGACAAAAUUCUAAAGAUGGCUGCGCGCACGUUUCUCAUGACAACAGUUCACUUGUUCAAAGCACAUUAAAUGAUAUUCAGUGAUAUUUAAUAAAUUCAUGGUCCUUGUGUUGUUGUCUUGAUUUAAACACUUCAACAUGAUGAAAUCUGAUUCCACACAGAACUGAAGAUUUUCUUCCUGAUGUCUGAGUGAAACAGCUUCUCGAACAAGAACAAAUGUAAGGCGGGACUUGAUUUUGUUCAUGGAGAAUUGACUGGAUGGUUGAAUGGCUGUGGUUUGCUAUUGGUGGAUCUCAUGUGAGUGACAGGUUGCCCCGCCCUCACACCAGUAAACACAUCAUCAAGAGAUGUUGCUGCAAGAUCUGUAACAUCAUUCAAGAUUACGAGGCACAUUAAUUUAAACAAAUUUAAACAGCAUGGGCACCCUGACUGGUCUGUGUCUAUGCAGCUCCAUACGCAAAAAACUGUGAUGCACUGUGUAUUCUGACACCUUUCUAUCAGAACCAGCAUUAACUUCUUGAGCAGUUUGAGCUACAGUAGCUCGUCUGUUGGAUCGGACCACACGGGCCAGCCUUCGCUCCCCACGUGCAUCAAUGAGCCUCGGCCGCCCAUGACCCUGUCGCCGGUUCACCACUGUUCCUUCCUUGGAGCACUUUUGGUAGAUACUGACCACUGCAGACCGGGAACACCCCACAAGAGCUGCAGUUUUGGAGAUGCUCUGACCCAGUCGUCUAGCCAUCACAAUUUGGUCCUCGUCAAACUCGCUCAAAUCCUUACACUUGCCCAUUUUUCCUGCUUCUAACACAUCAACUUUGAGGACAAAAUGUUCACUUGCUGCCUAAUAUAUCCCACCCACUAACAGGUGCCGUGAUGAAGAGAGAAUCAGUGUUAUUCACUUCACCUGUCAGUGCUCAAAAUGUUAUGACUGAUUGGUGUAUAUCUAUAUAUAUCCAAAUGAAUAGAUAUUGAAUCAACACUGAAACUGAAUCGCAAGCUCACAACCCGUUCUCACUCUCGAGGCGUCAAAAACUGAAGCAUGGUCAAGCGCCCCAGCGUCACUUGGGAUACGCCAAAGGUGCCCCUCGGUGCCCCUCUAUGGACGAACUGGGAACUCCAUUGCUUUCAAUAGGAAACCUUUAGCGUCAAAAACAGACGCGAAUUUGAAAUCACGCUGAAGAAGUCUAAUGCAGAACACAUCGUGAUAUUUGGCAUCAGUUCACGUGUGCCAGAUGUUGGUCAGUAGUCGUAAAUACGCUGUUCUAAUGUUUGCUUUCUAAAUGAAAGCACCUUACUAAACUAGGUUAAACACUGAUUAAACACUGUCACGUGACGUGCUAUAGACCUUCAAUCAGUUAAUCAUAUUCAUAUCAGGUUCAAAGUAGUACAAGUGUAGUUUCAAAAUGGUAUUUGUAGUAGAAGCACGGUAAAAACAACCCUUACCAUGCUUUUACCACAGUAUUACUAGUUUUAAUGUGAUAUUUGUUGUCAAUACAGAGUAACCACAACACUUACCAUGCUUUUAAUGCCUAAUAAUGUAAAAUCCAAAAAUUGCAAGGUCAGUCAGUACUUUUUUCCUAUAUAUAAUCCUAUAUAUUAUAAAUAAUGAUAUUUUCUUUUCUCUUGCUUCAGCUGAAAAGACCAAAAGGGCCUUUCAGAAAUAAACGGAGGAGACAGAAAGCUGCAAAAGCAAAUAAAAAUUAAAUUAACUUAAAAUUAAAUUAAAUUAAAAUUAAAGUCAAUUCCUGUACAUAUUUAUCGUGAUAUUUGUAAAUCAGCUGUGCACCUUCUUGGACAGUCGGAUGUCCCACACACUGUCAGAAAGUUUAUAUUAAUUCCAUUGAAUUCUUUAAAAUUAUUACAAAUUGGGCCCAAAAUGUUCCAGUGAUACUUGAUGUGAGUCGCUGCGAAUCUUGCCGUGAUCAGCCCUUUCCAGGGAAAGUUUCUAGAUAUUUAAAUCCGUAUUUACUCAUCAAAUGCUCUCCUGAAUGGUAUGGUAAAUUAACUUAUUUAUAACUGUCUCAAUUUGUAUGUUUUAAGAACAAUAGUAAUUGCACAUAGAGUAAGUAGCGACUUUCUUGUUUUACUGUGCAGAGAAGGAAGGCCAGUCCUUUUAUCAAAGCAAGCUCAUCGAAGUCCUUUGUUUAGGGUGAGGCAGGAACAUGGCCAUCUCGUGCCCAAAGAAGACAGAAGUCCAUUGGUAUGUCUUGUAUUGAGACGGAUAGCAAGAGAAGUCACUAACAGAUGAUUCUAGAGGGAAAAGACUAAUGUGCAGCCACGGAGGAAUACAAGAGGCACAAACUAUGCAUGGCCAUGGCUGCUUCAUGAGUAUGACCAGGACUGGAGAACGCCUGACAAUGGGAUGUUAAGACUUCUUCCUCUGGUUGAGAAAAAGUACCCUACAAUCAGUUGAGUUGUAGGGUACUGAACAAACUGUUUAGAAGAAGAACAUUAAAAUGAAAAUGAACAUGUACAGGGAAGAGCAAGAAACCACUUUAGCUGUGAUAAUGAAUCUUUAUUUUAAACACAAUAUCAAAUCUGUUUUCUAUAUCAUAGUUGACUGGAUUGGAUUAUUCUGUGGCGCUCAUUUGUGUGGCUUCAGCAACUGUGAAUGGAUUAAUAUGACGUUAACGUAUUUUUCAAGACAGAUUUUUAUUUAUCUUCAGUCUCAUUUGUCUUUAUGCUACUUUCACUGUUAUGCUGUAUCUUCCAAUGAAGUGUAAUAAAGUAUGGUGAAUACGGUGUGAACGUAGUGUUUGGUACAGUAAAUAAAAUUUAGGCUCUUCAAACUACAUAUAAAUAAUUACCAUGAUUUUUUUACUUAGGACAUAAAUAUUUUUGAUCUGAUUAAUGAUAUUUGGGACAACAAUGCACCAAAAUUUGCAUAUACUUUCAUGUUGUGACAAGUAUGCCAGUUUCCAGAGAAAUAAAGGGAAGGAAUGUGAAUUAGGAGAGGCUGCAGUGGGCUAUAUCGCUACAAACACUUCAAGCAGAACUGAAGAUGAUCCAUGUUGAUCAUUCUGGUACUUCUGCUGCAUUCAAAAUGACAGCAUGGACAUUACUAAUGUCAGCCAUGUGAGGAGCAAGAAGAGGGGUGAAGAUGAAAUUUUGGCACUGUUUCUUUGUUAUUUUACUGAAUGGUGCAUUAUACUUGUGUAACAGUAAUAGUAAAGUGUACAUUUAUAAAUAGUUUUUUGUUUACUGCCAACACUGGAAAUUGGUUAAUGGCAAGUUGUUGCGGGUUCAUCCAUUAUAUUUAUUGGAGUUCAUACAAAAAAAAGCAAAGAAAUAAUCAACUAUUAUUCAAUCAAUCAAUUAUUAUUAUUAUUAUUAUUAUUGUAUUACAACAUUUCGUUAAAUAUUUCCAUAUUUCAUCAGGUGGUCUCACAAUACCCAUCAAAACCUAUAUAAGCAUGAUGUUAGAAUAGAAAAGGGGGGAAAAGAAAAAAAAUACUCCAAUAUUUAAAUGUGAUUCAACAAAGUUUGUGAUCCAUGACAGGGAGAAUACGUCUAUGUAGAUUUUACUGCCCUUCCAUCCCCGAGGGGACCAGUAAUGGCCCCUGGAAGAGCAAAAAAAAUGCACAUUUCAAAUGGCUGUAACUCAAAGUCUGGUUAGUGUAUCAAAGAGAAAAUCAUCAGGACAACUGC